rnacentral:rRNA from 1 species
UACAGAAGUCCCGAGCGUUGUUCGGAUUCACUGGGCGUAAAGGGUGCGUAGGUGGCGAGGUAAGUCGGAUGUGAAAGCUCGGAGCUCAACUCCGAAAUGGCAUUGGAAACUACCUUGCUCGAGGGUUGGAGGGGGGACUGGAAUACUUGGUGUAGCAGUGAAAUGCGUAGAUAUCAAGUGGAACACCAGUGGCGAAGGCGAGUCCCUGGACAACUCCUGACACUGAGGCACGAAAGCUAGGGGAGCAAACAGG